rnacentral:rRNA from 1 species
GACAGAGGGUGCAAACGUUGUUCGGAAUUACUGGGCGUAAAGCGCGUGUAGGCGGCCAUCUAAGUCGGGCGUGAAAUCCCACGGCUCAACCGUGGAAGUGCACUUGAAACUGGAUGGCUAGAGUCCUGGAGAGGAAGGUGGAAUGCUUGGUGUAGAGGUGAAAUUCGUAGAUAUCAAGCGGAACACCGGUGGCGAAGGCGGCCUUCUGGACAGUGACUGGACGCUGAGA